CAUUUUGGUUUUUUUGAGAGAAACCGAGGGAUAGGGAGGGGAUGAACCCCUCCAUUGUGCUAGCUCUAAGGGGGCGAACAAAACGAAUUCUAGGGUCUUACCAAAAAAAACGAAUUCUAGGGUUUCAUGUCUUUGAAGGGGGAGUUUAAUGUCUGAAAUUCAGAAAUGGCGAUCAUAAACCCUUCGUUUUCACGUCAAUUUCAUUUUUCCAAGUAACGUUUUCUUUCACGACUUGUUUGGAUUUUGUUUGGAUUUUUUUUGCUUUUAACAAGAGGAAGAAGAGAUGAUGCCAGUGAGAAGGGGGAAGAGUAUAAAGGGUAUUUGUGUAGGCUUUCGAUGAGAGGAGCUGCUAAUGAUGAUACUCUACCGUAAGGACUUCACAUCGGAACAGGACGGCAUGAUGCCACUUGCCAGUAAAUGGAUGAAAGGCAUACUAUGCUGCUAUAUUGGAGCAAUAAUGAAAUCAAUGCUGAAUCCUUCACCAUCAUAAGAGAUAGAUCGGUUCCAGGGAUGGGUGGUCUUUGGCUCAAUGCAGAUUAUGUAAAGCGUAUUCAUAUGUCAGGAGAAGUUUUCUCAGAGGACAUCUUAGAUCACCUUGGUCCUUGAGGAUAAGAAAACAACCCCUUCUGCCUCAACAGUGGAAAAUCUAUUUGGCCCAGAUGGAAAACUCUGUGAUGGUGGAGUCAAGUCUUUGAAAAAAAUUAGCAGGUGGUUUGAGUUUUUUCAGUUCAUCCAUACAGUACAGUUACCGAUAUUCUUAAGUUUACAUUACAUGAAGCUUCCUUGAUGGAGGCCUAUCUGCUUCCGAUACUUGUUGCUCCUAGCUCUCGCUUCUCCUUGCAGAAAGCAGUUUGAGAAGUUGAGGAAACAGUUGAAACAUGCAUCUUUUGAAGCGCAUUGUUGAUGAGCGUGUUAAACAGAAUGGAGUUGCUGGAGUUGCGGUAGCCGACAAGGCGACAACGAUGGGGACAUUGAGAGUGUUGUCGAAGAUUCAGCUGCUCAAAUGGAUGUGAUUGCCCAAGAGUCUUCCUCGACUGUUACGAGAGAGCCCAGAAUGUGACGACUCAAAUGAUGAACAGGUUCCUGAUUGAUUUCCUGUAAAACCACCUGGAACCCUGUAGAGUCUUUACUACAUGCAGGACGCAUAGUUGUGAUGCAGUAAUGGUGAUGAGAUGUUGGAUAUUGUCCGGCAAUGAGUGACUUUUUGAUCACCUGUGGUUGUGAUGGUGGUUAUUAGGUUGUUUUUUUGUUUGUUUGUGGUUUUGUGGGAUUCGUGAAGAACAACUUCAGGCUGGACGGAGUGGGAUUCAGAAGGCGGUUAAACACUGUUGGCAAGAUUACCAAGUUCAAAGAAUGCUGAAGGCAUCUGGAGAAGAAGAUGCAGAGGCUGGUGUUGGUUCCUUUAUAGACAAGAGGUUAGAUUUGAGCAAGCAAUAUGUGUAUUUGGGGUGUGAUGCGGUCAGUAGACCAGGCAGCUACCAGGGCUAGGAUCGAGAGUAAGUCGCUCAGUGCGGCAUGUGUGCUGCAGCAUAUAGGAUGAAAUGAGAAAAUGCUAGUCUUCCCCCACCCCCUUCCCCCACCCCUUUCCCCCAUUACGUGUCAAGCAGAUAGUGGUGUGAUGCCACACAAAAGGGCCCCCUGUUAACUCCAAUCCAAGGGAUCAGGGUUAAGAUCGCUGCCACCUAAUGGGGGAAAGGGAAUGGGGGAAGUGUAGCAUCUUUGGAUGAAAUGUAAUAAUAAAAAGAGAAUGGAAACAUAAAUCCAUAUCUGGUUUACAUACACAGAGCUUGUAUGACUUUUGUAAAAGGGUGCUGCCUGCCAGUGAGCUGUGAAGCACGUGAAUAUUGUACAAAUAAUUCUUAUUGUUACUAAACUGAGGUUGGGUGUUGCUGCCUCUUAUUGU